rnacentral:rRNA from 1 species
UACGUAGGUGGCAAGCGUUGUCCGGAUUUACUGGGCGUAAAGAGCGCGCAGGCGGCUGGUCAAGUCCGAUGUGAAAGCCCCCGGCUCAACUGGGGAGGGUCAUUCGAUACUGAUCGACUUGAAGGCAGGAGAGGGAAGUGGAAUUCCGGGUGUAGUGGUGAAAUGCGUAGAUAUCCGGAGGAACACCAGUGGCGAAGGCGACUUCCUGGCCUGUUCUUGACGCUGAGGCGCGAAAGCUGGGGGAGCAAACGGGG